UACGGGGGGAGCAAGCGUUGUUCGGAUUUACUGGGCGUAAAGCGCACGUAGGCGGACUGUUAAGUCAGGGGUGAAAUCCUGGAGCUCAACUCCAGAACUGCCUUUGAUACUGAUGGUCUCGAGUCCGGAAGAGGUGAGUGGAAUUCCGAGUGUAGAGGUGAAAUUCGUAGAUAUUCGGAGGAACACCAGUGGCGAAGGCGGCUCACUGGUCCGGUACUGACGCUGAGGUGCGAAAGCGUGGGGAGCAAACAGG
rnacentral:rRNA from 1 species